rnacentral:rRNA from 1 species
UACAGAGGUCCCAAGCGUUGUUCGGAUUCACUGGGCGUAAAGGGUGCGUAGGUGGUUGGGUAAGUCUGAUGUGAAAUCUCCGGGCUCAACCCGGAAAUGGCAUUGGAUACUAUUCGGCUAGAGGUUUGGAGGGGGGACUGGAAUUCUCGGUGUAGCAGUGAAAUGCGUAGAUAUCGAGAGGAACACCAGUGGCGAAGGCGAGUCCCUGGACAACACCUGACACUGAGGCACGAAGGCCAGGGGAGCAAACGGG